AGCAAGGGAGUGAUAUCGUCUCACGGGAACUUAAUCGCACACGUGGCGAGACACCUCGUCGAGCCGAUGGACCCGUACGAGAUCUUCCUCUGCACCGUUCCGAUGUUCCACACGUUCGGUUUGUUGAACUACGUCAUGGCCACCGCAUCGUUAGGCUCCACGGUCGUGAUCCUCCGGAGAUUCGAGCUACACGAGAUGCUGGCGGCGGUUGUGAAGUACAGAGCCACGACGCUGGUUCUGGUGACGCCGGUUGUAGUAGCUAUGAUGAACGGAGCAGAUCUGAUCAAGGCGAAGUACGACCUGAGCUCACUGAGAAUAGUUAGGUGCGGUGGAGCUCCGUUGAGCAAGGAGGUUACGGAAGGGUUUAUAGAGAAGUAUCCAACGGUUGAUAUUUUUCAGGGUUACGCUUUGACGGAAUCUAACGGUGCAGGAGGUUCUAUUGAUACGGU
rnacentral:lncRNA from 1 species